ACACCCCACCCUUCCCUCUUCCCACCAGCUCUCCAAAAACCCUUUUGCAGAUGGAGCUGUUCAAUUCCCAGAACCAGUCUGGAGCAACGAUUAAAAGACCAAAAUUCCAAGAACCCUUUUCCCCCUCCUUCUUUGCACUUUGGCAAACACGCUACACCAAGACCCAGUGAUUCAUUUAAGAGCGGCAGUCAUAACGACAGAAGAACUAAGGAUUCUGCUGGGAAUCAGGCCAGUCCUCAGAAAUGUGGUCAUUUGAAGGAGGAAGAUAGGAUUCUGGAACAUUCUCUAGCUCCUUCCACCAGCCAGCAAGAGCAUGCUUUUCCUCAGAGGCUCCAGCCCCACGCCUGACUCACAACAAAUACUGAGCAGGUAGCAUCAGAUGUGAGAUGUGAGAGCCAGCUCCGUCUUCCUGCACGGUUGGCCUUCCUGACUCUUCAUGUUAAGUCAAGUGGUCCCAAACCAACAUGGAACACAUGACCAGAUGUGACCCAAGAUCUCCCCAAAGUUAUAUGAGCACAGGUAAUUUCAAGGAGAUCCCAUUCCAGAUGUUUCAAGGUCCAUAACGAUUUUGUUUUAAACAUCUGCCUAAGAGCACCUCAUAGUCAAGGCUCCUGGGUUUCCCUUUCCUUCUUCUCUUUUACAAUCCCACUUUCCAAAAGAAAAGGAUUCCUUUAAUCUGUCCUGAGCUCAAAUUACCAUAGUACAUCAAUGUCAAGAGAUUAAACCUUUCAGGGCAUACAGCAAAGGGGAAAUUUAAGAUGCGGUUCACUUAGCAGUGUCAACUUUUCCAUCCCCUGACUAUCACGAUCUUCUCUAUAGAAGGGUCCCCUGGAAGCAGGGCAGAGAGGACCAGAAGAACUUCCAAUGGUGACAUAUCACAUUGCUGCAUGAAACAGACCUACAGCAAGCCUCACUCGGUACCUCAUCAUCUACCAGGGUAGGACUCAUAAACAAAACUUUCUCGGGAAGCAUGCUGCUAUGCCUGGAAUGAUGACUCAGUAGUGGAGAACACUGUUUGCUUUUGCAGAGGAUCUGAAUUCAGUGCCCAGAACCCAGGUCAGUCAGCUCUUGACUGCCAGUAACUCCAGCUCCAACGACUCCAACACCCUCUUCUGGUCUCCAUGGAUACUCUCACACACCUGGCAUACACUUGUACAGACACAUACAGGUCAAUAAAAAAUUAAAAAAAUGAGUGAAUAUUUAUUUU
rnacentral:lncRNA from 1 species